CCUACGGGAGGCAGCAGUGGGGAAUAUUGCACAAUGGGGGAAACCCUGAUGCAGCGAAGCAGCGUGAGUGAGGAAGUAUUUAGGUAUGUAAAGCUCUAUUAGCAGGGAAGAAAAUGACGGUACCUGACUAAGUAGCCCCGGCUAGGUACGUGCCAGAAGCGGCGGUAAUACGUCGGGGGCAAGCGUUAUCCGGAUUUACUGGGUGUAAAGGGAGCCUAGACGGCUAGUCAAGUAAGAAGUGAAAGCCCAGGGCUCAACCUUGGGACUGCUGUUGAAACUGAGGAGCUAGAGUGCAGGAGAGGUAAGCGGAAUUCCUAGUGUAGCGGUGAAAUGCGUAGAUAUGAGGAGGAACACCAGUGGCGAAGGCGGCUUACUGGACUGUAACUGACGUUGAGGCUCGAAAGCGUGGGGAGCAAACAGGAUUAGAUACCCGAGUAGUC
rnacentral:rRNA from 1 species